AAGUGAAGCAGCUAUCACAGGGUCUGGAACAUAAAAUAAUCAUGAGGCCCAAAACACUUCCUGAAUGAAAGAGAACCUGCAUUGAAUUUUGUUCUGUGGUGAAUGGUACAUCCCAGCCUUCUUGCACAUAGAAACACUACACAGCACUUCAGCUGUAUGUUUGGGGGCCAUUUUAAACAGCAAAAUCAUCAACAGGAAGCAGAAAAUUGUAAAAAUUGUGGCACUAAAUAGACCAUGUAAAGGACACAUGUUUGCAAUAAGAAAGCUGAAACAAGAAGGGGGAGUGUCACCUUAUUUGAUCCAGCUAGAAACUCAGGUGCUGGUAUUCCAGCAACACUCAGGCGGCUGCUCCAGGAGGCUGCAGAGGGGUCCUUUUUAGCCGUCAACAAAACUGGCUAUGGUCACGCCCAUUGGGAAACUCAUUGCUGCCUUCAAGGACUCAGAAGCUGUAGGAAUAUUCAGGCACAGACACCAGACCCAGCUUCAUCUCUAACUUGUGGCAAAGGACAGUACAUCCUGGGAUGGGACCCUAUGCUCCCCUAUGCCAUUUAGACAGAGCCUGGGGAGAGUGACUUCCCAGGGUAUCCAUGUUGGAAUCUCUCAUUUGAUUCUUAUUCAAAUGUAAGUCAUUCUCCGAGGCCCAUAUAAAGUCAACCUCAUCCUUGAA
rnacentral:lncRNA from 1 species